rnacentral:rRNA from 1 species
UACGUAGGGUGCAAGCGUUGUCCGGAAUUAUUGGGCGUAAAGAGCUCGUAGGCGGUUUGUCGCGUCUGCUGUGAAAACUCGGGGCUUAACCCCGGGCCUGCAGUGGGUACGGGCAGACUAGAGUGCGGUAGGGGAGACUGGAAUUCCUGGUGUAGCGGUGAAAUGCGCAGAUAUCAGGAGGAGCACCGGUGGCGAAGGCGGUUCUCUGGGCCUUACCUGACACUGAGGAGCGAAAGCGUGGGGAGCGAACAGG